rnacentral:rRNA from 1 species
AUGCGUUGUUGGGUAGGGGAGCGUUCUGUAAGCCUGCGAAGGUGUGCUGUGAGGCAUGCUGGAGGUAUCAGAAGUGCGAAUGCUGACAUAAGUAACGAUAAAGCGGGUGAAAAGCCCGCUCGCCGGAAGACCAAGGGUUCCUGUCCAACGUUAAUCGGGGCAGGGUGAGUCGACCCCUAAGGCGAGGCCGAAAGGCGUAGUCGAUGGGAAACAGGUUAAUAUUCCUGUACUUGGUGUUACUGCGAAGGGGGGACGGAGAAGGCUAUGUUGGCCGGGCGACGGUUGUCCCGGUUUAAGCGUGUAGGCUGGUUUUCCAGGCAAAUCCGGAAAAUCAAGGCUGAGGCGUGAUGACGAGGCACUACGGUGCUGAAGCAACAAAUGCCCUGCUUCCAGGAAAAGCCUCUAAGCAUCAGGUAACAUCAAAUCGUACCCCAAACCGACACAGGUGGUCAGGUAGAGAAUACCAAGGCGCUUGAGAGAACUCGGGUGAAGGAACUAGGCAAAAUGGUGCCGUAACUUCGGGAGAAGGCACGCUGAUAUGUAGGUGAAGUCCCUCGCGGAUGGAGCUGAAAUCAGUCGAAGAUACCAGCUGGCUGCAACUGUUUAUUAAAAACACAGCACUGUGCAAACACGAAAGUGGACGUAUACGGUGUGACGCCUGCCCGGUGCCGGAAGGUUAAUUGAUGGGGUUAGCGCAAGCGAAGCUCUUGAUCGAAGCCCCGGUAAACGGCGGCCGUAACUAUAACGGUCCUAAGGUAGCGAAAUUCCUUGUCGGGUAAGUUCCGACCUGCACGAAUGGCGUAAUGAUGGCCAGGCUGUCUCCACCCGAGACUCAGUGAAAUUGAACUCGCUGUGAAGAUGCAGUGUACCCGCGGCAAGACGGAAAGACCCCGUGAACCUUUACUAUAGCUUGACACUGAACAUUGAGCCUUGAUGUGUAGGAUAGGUGGGAGGCUUUGAAGUGUGGACGCCAGUCUGCAUGGAGCCGACCUUGAAAUACCACCCUUUAAUGUUUGAUGUUCUAACGUUGACCCGUAAUCCGGGUUGCGGACAGUGUCUGGUGGGUAGUUUGACUGGGGCGGUCUCCUCCUAAAGAGUAACGGAGGAGCACGAAGGUUGGCUAAUCCUGGUCGGACAUCAGGAGGUUAGUGCAAUGGCAUAAGCCAGCUUGACUGCGAGCGUGACGGCGCGAGCAGGUGCGAAAGCAGGUCAUAGUGAUCCGGUGGUUCUGAAUGGAAGGGCCAUCGCUCAACGGAUAAAAGGUACUCCGGGGAUAACAGGCUGAUACCGCCCAAGAGUUCAUAUCGACGGCGGUGUUUGGCACCUCGAUGUCGGCUCAUCACAUCCUGGGGCUGAAGUAGGUCCCAAGGGUAUGGCUGUUCGCCAUUUAAAGUGGUACGCGAGCUGGGUUUAGAACGUCGUGAGACAGUUCGGUCCCUAUCUGCCGUGGGCGCUGGAGAACUGAGGGGGGCUGCUCCUAGUACGAGAGGACCGGAGUGGACGCAUCACUGGUGUUCGGGUUGUCAUGCCAAUGGCACUGCCCGGUAGCUAAAUGCGGAAGAGAUAAGUGCUGAAAGCAUCUAAGCACGAAACUUGCCCCGAGAUGAGUUCUCCCUGACUCCUUGAGAGUCCUGAAGGAACGUUGAAGACGACGACGUUGAUAGGCCGGGUGUGUAAGCGCAGCGAUGCGUUGAGCUAACCGGUACUAAUGAACCGUGAG